CAGGGGAAUUUUCUCCGCUUUCCUUCCCAUCUGACAUGCACUCCACAAGACUGUAAAACGCAGCUCUAGAGCUCAAAGCGUGGCAGCCUGGGCCAACAUCCCCAAGAUUUGUUGUAGUGCAAUGGGGUGUCUUCUCUAGGUGCGAAGGGGAGGAGGCCAUGCAGUAGGGACUGGAACAGUGGACAACUGGAACUAGUGACAGCAUGAAGUUCAACAAAAGAAAAUGCUGGGUUCUGCACCUGGGAUGGAGUAACACCAGAUACAGACCAAUUACCUGGGUGUGUGUGUGUGCACUGAGAGGGAAUUCACUUCGCUAAAGGUGUCAAUAACUGAACCGGAAUGCAAAGCAAUGGAAGUAGUCUCACUCUGUGGGUCUAUAUGUAAAUAAAAGUCACUGGAUUUGGAGAUUAAAUUAUCACCUCUGCUUGCCCUGUAAAUAAACGGAGAUCUGCCUUCCUCACCUCUGAGCACAUCAGGAGACAGUGGUGGCACACACCUCCAGGUUCUUCAUCAGCAGUGUUUGCACAUCAGAGAUUGCUGCCUCGGG
ensembl:lncRNA